CUUUCUCUUACACCUCCACUCCCCCACAUCACGGGAACUGUUAGCUUCUAAAAGAUGCUUUCCUCAAUUGGGAUAGAGGUAGAGAGAAAGGGAAUAAGACACCUGUAGCUCACGUAUCUCCCGUCUCCUUUGAUUUGUUCAGUGGGGAGAUGGGUCGAAGAGGGGCGAACAUAAAACCUCUAUGUUGAAGAAUGGAUCAUGUUGCUUUGGGUGAAAGAGAGCCGCUAAGUUCUUCAUGACCAAUCAAUCAAUCUUCAUUCAUGGUUUUUGCCGAUUGAAUAAAAUUAGCAAAGCUGAUGAUCUGCAUGCUAACUUUCAAACACAAGAAAAAUUGGCGGUGGUAUAAAAUGGAUUGAUCAUCGCAUUAUAUAUUCACUAUUUCGCAUUUUCUAUUUUUCGACGAAAUUUGGACACGUCUACCGCCACGUCCUACUCAAGUAAGACAAUAAACAAGUAGCAGUAUCUGCAAGUAAAUUUGAAUCUCUUCUUGCAAUCUGCAGUCUUCAAACAGUUUACCAGCUAAAACCGAGCUCGCAAAGAUGAGGGCAAACUUCGAACAAAAUAAAGAGAAGUGGCAAGGUGAGGAAGAGUCAAGAAGCUUCUCACGGCGGUCCGGCGGUUCAAGGGCCAGCACACGCCAGUACAUAAUAUCGUGCAUAUACAUUAUUAUGGAUAGACUCUGUGCAAACAGCAACGCAGCUCGUAUUUAUGUACCGACCGACAUGUCUUCUAUGGUCUAUAAU
rnacentral:sRNA from 1 species